UUUUUGGGUCAUGGGUCAUGGGUCAGCUCAUUAAUUCCCCACCUAUUCCUGCACCUUAUCUCUUCUCUUCCCCGUCAUUUCUUCUCCUUUUUUCUUCGCCAUUUUUUUCUCCAGGCUUCUCCCAAGUUCAUUUCCUCAUUUAAUUUCAAAAAAAUCCCUCGAGCGCUCGGGUUCCCUUCUUCUCUCCCGUUGUUCGGUUCCCAGUAAGAUUUCCAUCUCAUCCCCUUCUUAUAAAAGAUGAAGAACUUUUUGGAAGAGUUCAGUGGAGAAGAAGAUGAGGGUUUACUUCAAAAAAUAUAUUAUUGUGAGUUAAUUUGCAGAAUAUGGAUGUGCAAGCAAGGACACAAUAGGGGCUUGGAAUUUUAUGGAUGCUCGAGAUACAAGGGACCUAAUUGCAAGGGUUAUAACUUCUUCGAAUGGGUGGGUGAUACUAAGAACAUCACAAAAAGGCUGGAAAGGCUGGAAAAAUGAUGAGGUUUUGAAAAAAUACUGAAUGAUGUAAUUUUAUAUUUAAAAUUUAUAAGUAUCAUUGUACUGAUAAUGUUGCUCUGUGUUAUAUUCAAAUGAUCGGUAAUAUGUCAGUGGAUGACUAAUUUAUCCAAAUAUCCUAUUGUAAACGAAUGUUCAAACUGGUUAUGGUUAUUUGUUAUGGUUCAGUUAUGAUU